CACGUAGGAGGCGAGCGUUGUCCGGAAUCAUUGGGCGUAAAGAGCGCGCAGGCGGCUUGGCAAGUCGGGUGUGAAAUCCCGGGGCUCAACCCCGUGACUGCAUCCGAUACUGUCAGGCUAGAGGUAGGUAGGGGAGAUCGGAAUUCCUGGUGUAGCGGUGAAAUGCGUAGAUAUCAGGAGGAACACCGGUGGCGAAGGCGGCUUCUGGACAGAAACUGACGCUGAUGCGCGAAAGCUAGGGGAGCAAACAGG
rnacentral:rRNA from 1 species